GAUGAACGCUGGCGGCGUGCCUAAUACAUGCAAGUCGAGCGAAAAGACGAGGAGCUUGCCCCUCUGACGUAAGGGGCGGACGGGUGAGUAAAACGUGGAAAACCUACCUUUAAGAUUGGGAUAAUUUCGGGAAACCGGAGCAAAUACCGGAUAAUUUAUUGAACCGCAUGGUUCAUAGGUGAAAGAGGGUUUUGUUGUCACUAAUGGAUGGAUCCGCGCCGCAUUAGCUAGUUGGUAAGGUAACGGCUUACCAAGGCAACGAUGCGUAGCCGACCUGAGAGGGCGAUCGGCCACACUGGAACUGAGACACGGUCCAGACUCCUACGGGAGGCAGCAGUAGGGAAUCUUCCGCAAUGGGCGAAAGCCUGACGGAGCAACGCCGCGUGAGUGAUGAAGGUCUUCGGAUCGUAAAACUCUGUUAUUAGGGAAGAACAAAUGUGUAAGUAACUAUGCACGUCUUGACGGUACCUAAUCAGAAAGCCACGGCUAACUACGUG
rnacentral:rRNA from 1 species